GCGCGGCGUGCUCCUCCGGGCAGGGCUGUCCGCAUGCUUCCGUCGCCGGCUCAUUCCUGUGGCACCGUCCUCUCGCCGCAUUCACAUUGUGCUACGGAAGAUCUGUGCAACGGCUCUGCAAACAAGCACCAACAAUGUAUCUACAUACCUAUCGGGGUCAUGUUUCCACCGAUGGUGUUGGUUGCUGACGACUGCUGAGAACCACAUCCCAGUGACAAGGAAGCACACAGAAGUUUGACUCUUCAAACGGUUGACAUCUUGACCUUGAGGAAAAAAGUCUGCAUCAAUUGAAUGAAAACUAAUCGAUGAAGUCGCCACAAGUCAAGGUGGUCGUCACAAUUUCACAUUCCUAGGGAUUCUCCUGCGUGUGGUUGCCCAGCUAUGGCUCCAUUCUGACGUCCCUUAUGAAUAAGCAAAUGCUUCCUCCUUCAACAGAUGGAACAAAUACAGAGACUCACAAUAAGACAUUACACACAGAAAGAGACCUUGGAACACGUGGCUCUCCUCAGAGCACAGGGGACCCUUUGGAAGAGAAGAUCCAGAUGUAGAACUCUCAAUUUCUUCGGCAUCAUGUCUGCUUGUGUGUUGCUAUGUUCGCUGCCAUGAUGGAAAUUGACUAAAACUCUAGAAGGCUUCUUUAGUUCUCAGAAGAAGAAGAAAACAGGAAACAAGCUAGAAACCCACCAUGGAGGGCCUCUGAAAGGCUCCGCCCUGCAGACUAUCAAAGCAGAUUUUAUGAUAGUAAGUGUAGAAAACUGUUUAAAAAUCAGAAAAAGCAGUACAAAACAAAACAAAAACCGCGGAGGAUGGGGUAAAGCCAUAAUCUCACAACAGAGAGGAUGAGCCUUUGUAGUAUUGUGGUGCAUUCUUUCUCAAAAUGUUGACUUAGUCUGAAAUUCAGUUCUCUAAGGUAAGAUAGAAUUUUUUUUGAUACUAAUAAAUGUAACUCUCUUAUCCUUUCUGUGAAGCUUUGUGGGUCUCGAUAAAUGCUUUUUAUAAAUCAACUCUACUUUGACUAUCUAAAGCUGGUUUUCAGCUGAGAAAAAUAAACGAAUUUUUUUGA